UCCAAUACAGCUGGCCGUACGAUUGUCCGACCGCACGGCCGCUUUCAUCCAGCGUCCACGUUCAAUCCAACGACACAGAGGGCCCCGGACGCACGAGCGGCACCUGACUGGGAUGGUCCCAUAUUCCAGAAGGGAGGAGGGCGUGAAGAAAUUUAUUCAAAACAUCAGGACGCGUGCCUGUUCAUUUCCUUCAACCCCUCUCUCUCUAGGGUUCGUUCCUCUCUCGCAAUCGCCCGGUGAUUCCUCCUCCCAAUUCCUCGCUCCCCGUCGCCAUGGCGCCCAGCUGAAUCCGCGGUGCAGUACCCUCGGCGAGUGAGAGGAGGGGGGUCGCUCGUGCGCGGAAUCACUGGAUCAGGUCAAGCGGCGAGCGAUCAGAGGCAUUCCCCUGUGCUGGAGCAUACGUGCGUGCGGCGAGUGGAAAUCUCAGACGGCAGGCUAAGUGAGUCUCCCCCCUCUCUCCAUUCCCCAACCCUCUGCCCACGGAGCCCCUGCAUUUUUUUGGGUUCAGGCUCUGCAUUGCGUUUGGAGUGAUGAUUGUUUUAGCUCGCACCCCCCCCCCACAUAUGAUUUUGAUUUGUGCAGUUUAUAUUCUAGGGUUUGAUGCAGCGGAAGUGUAGGUUCAUAAUCAGAGGGGGUGAUUUUUCAGCAUUACCAACAGCAGCACCUAGAAUUUGUUUAGGAUUCGGGGGAUGUGUGGCUCAAAGCAGAGAAUUAGGGGUGCUGCUAUUUUUUUCUCUCACACCCACAAUAAUACGUGGGUUAGUGGUCUGGAAGCGUAGGAUUUUGGGGGAAUGGGCAGCAUCUUCCGAAUUUGGUGAUUCCCAAACUUGACUGUAUCCCGCCACAAGGGGGGUGUUUUCACACACUAGAUACAUGGAAAUAGAAGCAAUACCCCCACAUGCACACUACAUUCAAGUAUGUUUAUAUAUAGCUUCAACAAAAGUGGAUCACAGUCUGUCUAUGCUAGAGUGUGAUUUGUAGGUUUUAGUCUCGUAGAAUAACAAGCAAGCCGUUGUGGUAAGCAACAAAUUCAUUUUUCUGUAUGCAAUAAUCAAGUGGUCAGUUUUCAGGUAUAUUUGCAUGAAAAAUGAUUUAUAAUUGCCUAAGCUCAAACAAUGUAAUUUCCUUUUUCUUACUUCUGGGGUUCCACACAAGCAUACCAAACAUUUUAUUUUGCAAGUACAUCAAAGUUAUCUUCUUUUUUUGUUGUUGCAAGAAUAAUGACUGCUUGAUAACUCCAAACAAAAGUGGAUCACGGCCCAUGUGCGCUAGCUUCUGUAUUUUGCACAGAGUAGUUGACAGUCGUACUGAGUCAUCUCCAACAAAUUUCAGUCAAUUUCGAUAAAAUUUUAUAGUGUGAACGCGAGGUUUUAUUUCUAGGGUCCGGCUCUUGAUGUGGAG